AUUGAACGCUGGCGGCAGGCCUAACACAUGCAAGUCGAGCGAGCGGCGGACGGGUGAGUAAUGUAUGGGGACUGCCCGAUAGCGGGGGAUAACUACUGGAAACGGUAGCUAAUACCGCAUACUAUCGGAUAACCCAUAUGGGAUUAGCUAGUAGGUGAGGUAAUGGGCUACCUAGGCGACGAUCCCUAGAUGGUCUGAGAGGAUGAUCAGGCCAACUGGGACUGAGAACCGGCCCAGACCCCUACGGGGGCAGCAGUGGGGAAUAUUGCACAAUGGGCGCAAGCCUGAUGCAGCCAUGCCGCGUGUAUGAAGAAGGCCCUAGGGUUGUAAAGUACUUUCAGUCGGGAGGCGUUACCGAAAGAAGAAGCACCGGCUAACUCCGUGCCAGCAGCCGCGGUAAUUC
rnacentral:rRNA from 1 species